rnacentral:rRNA from 1 species
GACGAACGCUGGCGGCGUGCUUAACACAUGCAAGUCGAGCGGAAAGGCCCUUCGGGGUACUCGAGCGGCGAACGGGUGAGUAACACGUGAGUAAUCUGCCCUUCACUCUGGGAUAGCCACCGGAAACGGUGAUUAAUACCGGAUACGACCAAUCCCUGCAUGGGGUGUUGGUGGAAACUUUUUUGGGUGGGGGAUGUGCUCGCGGCCUAUCAGCUUGUUGGUGGGGUAAUGGCCUACCAAGGCUUCGACGGGUAGCCGGCCUGAGAGGGUGACCGGCCACACUGGGACUGGGACACGGCCCAGACUCCUACGGGAGGCAGCAGUGGGGAAUAUUGGACAAUGGGCGGAAGCCUGAUCCAGCAACGCCGCGUGAGGGAUGACGGCCUUCGGGUUGUAAACCUCUUUCAGCACCGACGAAGCGCAAGUGACGGUAGGUGCAGAAGAAGGACCGGCCAACUACGUGCCAGCCGCCGCCGUAACAC